UAAUUGAAGAGUUUGAUCAUGGCUCAGAUUGAACGCUGGCGGCAGGCCUAACACAUGCAAGUCGAGCGGCAGCGGAAAGUAGCUUGCUACUUUGCCGGCGAGCGGCGGACGGGUGAGUAAUGUCUGGGAAACUGCCUGAUGGAGGGGGAUAACUACUGGAAACGGUAGCUAAUACCGCAUGACCUCGAAAGAGCAAAGUGGGGGAUCUUCGGACCUCACGCCAUCGGAUGUGCCCAGAUGGGAUUAGCUAGUAGGUGAGGUAAUGGCUCACCUAGGCGACGAUCCCUAGCUGGUCUGAGAGGAUGACCAGCCACACUGGAACUGAGACACGGUCCAGACUCCUACGGGAGGCAGCAGUGGGGAAUAUUGCACAAUGGGCGCAAGCCUGAUGCAGCCAUGCCGCGUGUGUGAAGAAGGCCUUAGGGUUGUAAAGCACUUUCAGCGAGGAGGAAGGCA
rnacentral:rRNA from 1 species